GUGAGGUGAAGAAGGAAGCAAGAGCGUUUCAACUGUGAACUGCAGUCGACUGUACCUCCUACUUCGGUACAAAUUAUGUACAAAUCUCCAUCGAGACGAGAUAAUAUUCACUCGCCGGUCGCGUAUAAACAGCAGAGGCAAGAUAAGGGACGAAUCGCUCCACGGUAGCCCGAAGAAUCGAAAUCAUUUCGUAAUUACCGUCGCAUUUCGCGAUUACUUCCGAUGUCGAACAUCACCGGAGCUUAUGCCCACGAGCGCAAUGAGAAUCUCGAUGAAUAUCUCAAGGCCAUCGGGGUUCCAUACGUCGGAAGGAAAAUGAUGUCUUUCAGUAGUCCACGGUUGGAAAUAUCGAAAAACGAAGACAAAUGGACGAUUCGAAGUAUUUCGGUGGGGCGCACGUUGGAGAUGACGUUUGCUCUUGGCGUUGAAUACGAGGAAUCGAUGCCAUCCGGUGACAAGCUCAAGAACGUUACGACCAUAGAAGGGGAUAGUUUGGUAACAAACUCGGUUGCUCCGAACGGUUCGCUGAUAACACGAAGAUACGAUUUCACCCCAGAAACAGCUGUAUUGACGAUGACACACCAGAAUAGCGGGAAAAUUGCCAAGAGAUACUACAAGCGUGUUGUAACCGUUUAGAGAGAAACGCUAUAUCAGCUCAGGAUGUGGAAUAACAUCCCUCAGAUAUUCCAUCUGUCGUACAUCCUACAAAAACAGAGCAUCAAAUGAUAAAGGAAGCUCAAUCAAAUCCUUCGCUCUCGCAACCUACGAAUACUGAAUAAAUAAUUUUCAAACCGUAACGGAUCGAUCCCAGUAUUAAAUGCAGCUGUCUCUAUAAUUUGGCGUGAUGAAUCACGAUGGAAAUACCACCUGUCGUUAUAUGCAGUCGUGAUAAUAACAUGCAUUCGAGGAGUUGCAUGUUAUAUACGUAAAAAAUUAUUGAAAACAAAACGAAGAAGAAUUACUACCGCGGGUUUCGAUGUUUGUUUCGAUUAACGAACACAAUUUCAAUAGGAAUAAAAAAAAGGUACAGCCAUCAACCCCAUUGAUCACCUGCCGAACUCGCAGAAUGACCGCACAGUUUCGUUGAAUCAUUCAUCAGGAAACCAGACAAUGAAUGAAUCAAAAAAGUAAAAUUGGGCGUAUAGUAUGACGCAAUCUAUAUACUCGAACAGGUGACGUAUACGCGGUCAGGGGGUGUUGCUAAGGAAACUGACCAUUACACUACGUACUGGCAAAGGGGGCGACAUUAACUGUGGAAAAUUAUUGACGAGACAUCGAACUUGGCGGGUUUUUCUAACUGCGUUCAGAAAAUGGUCUAUGGGGCGCGGUCGACGACGCGUGCGAACAACGAAGAUAAAAAAUGAAAUAGAGGAAAAUGUAUGAGUAACGAUAGCGGGAGGGCAUGUGCGUUGAAAGAGUCGGUGUUCGGGAUAUUAUCGAAUCCGGGGCACACCCACUUCGUAGUAGAGUAACGUGAAAUCGUAGCAAGAUCGCUGAACGAUUUUGUUAGUGAGUAGGGGGAAUAAAACUUGAAAAGAUUAGAACGCAUCGUGCAUCUGUUCGGUUGUGUUGGGGGUAGAAAACACCGAUGAUAAUUUAAGUGGGCAACCUCACACCGAAUACCAAAGACCGCCGAAUGCGCAUCGGCUCAACUUCCUCGUCGUCCGAAACAGUUUACUCUUUGUGGAAGAGGACUGUGUGUAAUCAAACAACGAUAACAGGGAGAAGAAGUGGGUUACUAUCGGUGAAACGACUAUGAAAAUUUACAAAUGGGUGCCAAUAUCCACUCUUGAUCAG